AUUGAACGCUGGCGGCAGGCCUAACACAUGCAAGUCGAGCGGAUGACGGGAGCUUGCUCCUUGAUUCAGCGGCGGACGGGUGAGUAAUGCCUAGGAAUCUGCCUGGUAGUGGGGGACAACGUUUCGAAAGGAACGCUAAUACCGCAUACGUCCUACGGGAGAAAGCAGGGGACCUUCGGGCCUUGCGCUAUCAGAUGAGCCUAGGUCGGAUUGGCUUGGUGGUGAGGUAAUGGCUCACCAAGGCGACGAUCCGUAACUGGUCUGAGAGGAUGAUCAGUAUCACUGGACCUGGGACACGGGACAGACUCCUACGGGAGGCAGCAGUGGGGAAUAUUGGACAAUGGGCGAAAGCCUGAUCCAGCCAUGCCGCGUGUGUGAAGAAGGUCUUCAGAUUGUAAAGCACUUUAAGUUGGGAGGAAGGGUUGUAGAUUAAUACUCUGCAAUUUUGACGUUACCGACAGAAUAAGCACCGGCUGACUCUGUGCCAGCAGCCGCAGUAAAAC
rnacentral:rRNA from 1 species